UACAGAGGUCCCAAGCGUUGUUCGGAUUCACUGGGCGUAAAGGGUGCGUAGGCGGUUUGAUAAGUCUGAUGUGAAAUCCCGCAGCUUAACUGCGGAACUGCAUUGGAUACUGUUUGACUAGAGGAAUGGAGGGGAGACUGGAAUACUUGGUGUAGCAGUGAAAUGCGUAGAUAUCAAGUGGAACACCAGUGGCGAAGGCGGCUACCUGGACAAUUGCUGACGCUCAGGCACGAAAGCGUGGGGAGCAAAAGGG
rnacentral:rRNA from 1 species